UACGGAGGGGGGCUAGCGUUGUUCGGAAUUACUGGGCGUAAAGCGCACGUAGGCGGCUUUGCAAGUGGCGGGUGAAAUCCCUCGGCUUAACCGAGGAACUGCCUGCCAGACUGUGAGGCUUGAGACCGGGAGAGGUGAGUGGAAUUCCCAGUGUAGCGGUGAAAUGCGUAGAUAUUGGGAGAACACCAGUGGCGAAGGCGGCUCACUGGACCGGAACUGACGCUGAGGCGCGAAAGCGUGGGGAGCGAACAGG
rnacentral:rRNA from 1 species